rnacentral:lncRNA from 1 species
GUUAGAAGGGACCUUAUGUCCCACCUGGUUCCAUCCUCCACCAUGGCCUGGCUGCCCCCACCACCUCAGGCUGCCCAGGGCCCCAUCCAGCCCGUCUGUGGGCACCUUCAGGGAUGGGGCACCCACAGCUCUCUGGGUAGCAGUGCCAGGGCCUCACUGCCUCCAGGAUCAAGCCACAAUUCAAGGAGCAGGGGUUCCAGCAAGUGGUCAGCAAGUGCCUGACCAUCCCAACUCACUGCACCUGUACAAAGGCAAAUGCAUAACGAGGACUUAUGCUAAAAUCUCAGCACCCCAGGGAGACUUCAAUGUCAUGGUGUUUCCCCACCCUGGGUCACUCCCUGUCCCCCUGAGCGCCUCAAGAUGUCUCUCAAAUACUCCCUCUGAAAGGAAGAUCCAGUGUAGGCCAGUCUACUUGAUCAAAGUGGCAAUAGCUGCUUACAGGUGGCACGGAGGAACAGAAGGCUGGGGGAUUGAUGUGUUUCCAGACACCACGAAAUGAAGCUCUGGCAGAACUGAGAGGUAAGCCCUGAGUCGCCGGUGUUCUCCCACUUCAGGAAAGCCGAGCGCCAUCAGCUAAUGGCCAUGAAUAUUUCAGCUGUGUCAUUAUUAUUUCACAGAGGUAAAUGCUGCAGGGAAGAGCUGGGAGAUGGCAGCACGUUGCGUUCGGCUGCACUUGGGGGUAGGAUGUGCAGAGUCACAGCACUGGGGACAACCUCUCUCUUUCCUAAAGCAUCUCCUUGUGUGCAAAGGACGUGUUCGUAGGCAGCUCACACUGCACACUUGUGCAGGGACGUCUGUGGCAGGAAGCCCUCCUGUCCCCCUGUGCGUCCCCAGCCACCGCUAGGUGAUCUUCCAACCCUUUAUUUGCCACCCCACGACUGAAGGGAGGUCCUAAAC